rnacentral:rRNA from 1 species
CGUUGAAUACGUUCCCGGGUCUUGUACACACCGCCCGUCAAGUCACCUGAAUUGUCUUCACCCGAAGCCCGUGGCCUAACCCGUAAGGGGAGGAGCGGUCGAAGGUGAGGGGGGUAAGGGGGACU